AGACAAAUAAAUCUCAGUCAAGAAACAAAGCUAUUGUGUUGGGAAUAUCAGUUGGUGUGCUGCCCAUGGGCACACCAAGGAACCACCGUGAUAGCUGAUCUGGAAGACCUCCUCACUGUAAUGGAAGGGUACCAUCCGCAGCACACAGUAGCUGCACCCGCUGAAGGCCUAGGUGCAGACAUUGAGGCUUGCCUGCGCGGCUUCAGCGAUGGCGGCAUGGAAUUCUACAUAUCUAUCGAACCCAACUUUUAA
rnacentral:lncRNA from 1 species